rnacentral:lncRNA from 1 species
AGUCGGGAUGAACAUCAACCGUUGGAUCGAAUGAUGAAUUGAAUUUCGACCGUCGGAUCAUGCAAAAGUUUUUUCUUUUUAAUCACCAAUGAACAGCAACCAUCUGAUCUCGUUCAGAAUGAAUCUCCAUCAUCCAUUCAUAAAAUAUUUUCUUUCGCCCGUCAUAGACCGCAUCGUACAUCGUGAAGCAUUUUUGAUGGAUCGCACAAUUGAAUUCGUGG